rnacentral:lncRNA from 1 species
CUGUGGGCAAGUAAAUGGCUGCAUUGCAUACUAAUGCAUCGAGAGGUCUUCCAGAACGUUUGAAGGCAUCUGCAAACUGGCGAACACUUUCAAGGGAAGAAAGAUCAAGGUGCAUAAUUGAAUAGUUUUCUUUAGAAAUGCCAACUGAUUUUGCAGCUCUCUCAGCCUUAAGAAAAUUCCUGCAUGCCAUAAUUACGUUCCAUUUCCCUGUUUCAGCUAGUGCCUUUGCUGUAGCCAGUCCCAAGCCAGAGGAUGCUCCAGUGAUUAUUACGUUUCCUUUCCUUAGAGUUUUCUUUGCUCCUGGUGAAGAGAUUGCUGGAGUUGUAGCAGCAGUCUGGGCU